rnacentral:misc_RNA from 1 species
AAAAAAAAAAAAAAAAAAAAGACCCAAUACCAAACAACCUUGCUAUAAAAAUCUCCUUCUACAGAAACAGGACAUGAACCUUCUUGCUCUGUUUCUGCCCAUGUGGGCAUUGUCUAGCACAUUUUUGUUUUUCUUGCUUGAUGCCAGACCAGAGUCAACAUUCUCCACCAAUUCUAGGCCUGCCCUUCUUGCUAAGAAAGAGCCCAUUUCGUUCUUCUCUGCAAAAAUGGAAACUCAAUCUCCAGGACUGCCUAUGGCUCCUAUGGAUAAAGUAGUGCACCAUCAAGAUUUGAACAAGAGAAUCCUUAUAGCACUAGUCGUUGCUUCGUCUCUCCUUGGAGCAAUCUUGGUGUUUCUGUCAUGUUUCUGUAUCCACAGAAUGAAAAACUCCAAGAACUCUAGCUUGAAAGGCAAACAAAAUUUCGAAGCUGGAAAUGGGCAUUCCCUCAGUCCAGUUCUGGGCAAAUUAAAUUCCUUGACGAUGGUUGGUAAUAAGGAUUCCAUUGCUGUGAUGGAAUAUGAAUUGCUAGAAGCUGCAACAAACAAUUUCCAAGAAAAUAAUUUGUUGGGUGAAGGUGGUCAUGGACGUGUCUACAAAGCUCGUGUCAAUGAAAAACUCCUUGCUGCUGUAAAAAAAUUGGAGGGCGUAGGACGGAAUGUGCAAAGAGAAUUUGAGAAUGAAAUGAAUUGGUUGACGAAAAUUCAGCAUCAGAACAUAAUUUCGUUGUUGGGUUACUGCAUUCAUGAUGAAGCGAAGUUUCUUGUGUAUGAAAUAAUGCAGAAUGGGUCUUUGGAAAGUCAGUUGCAUGGUAUACUUCCUUAGAAGAAAAAAACAAUGAAAGGUGUGAAUUUAUAAAUCCUUUUGCUUAUUGAUGAUAUGAUGAAAAUUUUAGGACCGACACAUGGAUCUGCAUUAACUUGGCUUCUGCGUAUGAAAAUUGCUGUUGAUGUUGCAAGGUAAGUGCAAUGCUCAAUUUUGCUUUGUUAACUUUAUUCUUUUUCUUUUUGCUUUUCCAAAGAAUAUUUCUUUUUGUUGUGCUAACUAGUGGUCACUGGGACUGGUGUUGACCAGAGGACUAGAAUAUCUUCAUGAGCAUUGCAAUCCUCCUGUUGUCCACAGAGAUAUAAAGUCAUCAAACAUUCUUCUGGAUUCCAACUUCAAUGCCAAGGUAAAAGAUAUAUAUAACAGCUUAACAAGUAAUUCGAUCCUCACCUGUGCAUGUCUAUUACUUUUUAUGAUGCCAACUAGAAUUAUUUCCUUCAUUGAGUUCUUGUUCAGCUUUCAGACUUUGGCCUUGCUUUAACUUCCGGAAUCGAAAAGAAAAACAUAAAGCUUUCAGGAACUUUAGGUUAUGUUGCCCCAGAGUACCUUUUGCAUGGAAAAUUAACUGAUAAAAGUGAUGUCUAUGCUUUUGGAGUU